AAAGAAACAAAAUGGAAAAUAUACCUUGAUUUCUUAAUUGUUUUAGUGGAUAUAAAUGGAUGAGACAACCUGAAAAAUAGAAAAAACUAGUUAAACACAAUACAAAAAUUUAUCAAAAAUUUUCAUAUAAAACGAAAAAUUAAAAAAAAAAAACUUACUUGUAGAGAGGAUUGUUUGAUUUGUGAAAGAAUGAAAUGAGAUAGUUGUAGAAUUUAUAGACAAAACAAGGAAAUAAAAAAAAUAAAAAAAGAAAGUAACAAUCACAUGCAUUGGCCCACUGCACUCCCCCAACGUAUUUUUCUUAUUUUGUGCAGGACAGCCUUUUUAUCACAUAUCUUCUUCUGCAUGCACUGCAUGCAGUGGUAUGUAUUUUUUAUUAUUAUAAUUUGUUCUGCAAUUUUUUUUUUGAUUGGGCUUCAGUUGCAGAGCAAUCUGCAUGCGAUUUUCUCCUGCAUUUAUCCUGUGUUUCUCCUGCC
rnacentral:lncRNA from 1 species